rnacentral:rRNA from 1 species
UACGGAGGGUGCGAGCGUUGUCCGGAAUCACUGGGCGUAAAGGGCGCGUAGGCGGUGACUUAAGCGUGUGGUGAAAGCUCGGGGCUCAACCCCGAGUCGGCCGUGCGAACUGGGUCACUGGAGCAGAUCAGAGGCAGGCGGAAUUCCGGGUGUAGCGGUGGAAUGCGUAGAGAUCCGGAAGAACACCGGUGGCGAAGGCGGCCUGCUGGGAUCUUGCUGACGCUGAGGCGCGACAGCGUGGGGAGCAAACAGG